rnacentral:rRNA from 1 species
AUUGAACGCUGGCGGCAUGCUUUACACAUGCAAGUCGAACGGUAACAGGCCGCAAGGUGCUGACGAGUGGCGAACGGGUGAGUAAUGCAUCGGAACGUGCCCAGUCGUGGGGGAUAACUACUCGAAAGAGUAGCUAAUACCGCAUACGAUCUAUGGAUGAAAGCGGGGGACCGUAAGGCCUCGCGCGAUUGGAGCGGCCGAUGUCAGAUUAGGUAGUUGGUGGGGUAAAGGCUCACCAAGCCAACGAUCUGUAGCUGGUCUGAGAGGACAACCAGCCACACUGGGACUGAGACACGGCCCAGACUCCUACGGGAGGCAGCAGUGGGGAAUUUUGACAAUGGGCGCAAGCCUGAUCCAGCAAUGCCGCGUGCAGGAAGAAGGCCUUCGGGUUGUAAACUGCUUUUGUACGGAACGAAACGGCUCUGGUUAAUACCCGGGGCUAAUGACGGUACCGUAAGAAUAAGCACCGGCUAACUACGUG